CGUCAGUACUGUGCGCCCUGCAGCGGUUGCCAUGGAGGCGGCGGGGGAACGUGGUGAGGAGGAGGAGGAGGAAGAAGAGUGGUUGCUGCAAUCCCUGCACCUGUACGAGGCUCUGCACGCCUUCGAGCUCCAGGCUCCCACCCGCGUUAUCGAAUGGGCCCUGGGGAAGCGUGAGUGGGGAGGGGGAGGAGGGAGGCCGAGA
rnacentral:lncRNA from 1 species